rnacentral:rRNA from 1 species
AUUGAACGCUGGCGGCAGGCUUAACACACGCAAGUCGAACGAUGAUUAUCUAGCUUGCUAGAUAUGAUUAGUGGCGGACGGGUGAGUAACAUUUAGGAAUCUACCUAGUAGUGGGGGAUAGCUCGGGGAAACUCGAAUUAAUACCGCAUACGACCUACGGGUGAAAGGGGGCGCAAGCUCUUGCUAUUAGAUGAGCCUAAAUCAGAUUAGCUAGUUGGUGGGGUAAAGGCCCACCAAGGCGACGAUCUGUAACUGGUCUGAGAGGAUGAUCAGUCACACCGGAACUGAGACACGGUCCGGACUCCUACGGGAGGCAGCAGUGGGGAAUAUUGGACAAUGGGGGCAACCCUGAUCCAGCCAUGCCGCGUGUGUGAAGAAGGCCUUUUGGUUGUAAAGCACUUUAAGCAGGGAGGAGAGGCUAAUGGUUAAUACCCAUUAGAUUAGACGUUACCUGCAGAAUAAGCACCGGCUAACUCUGUGCCAGCCGCCGCAGUAA